UCCAACCUUGAGACAUACCUAGUUGCCUCGGCGGCUUGCCCUGGGACGACCUACCCUGCAGCGAGUUACCCUGUAACGAGUUGCCCUGUAGAGACCUGCCCUGUAGCCUGCCCGCCGGCGGCCAACCUAAACUCUGUUUUAUUGUGGCACUUCUGAGGAUUAUUCUAAAUGAAUUAAAACUUUCAACAACGGAUCUCUUGGUUCUGGCAUCGAUGAAGAACGCAGCGAAAUGCGAUAAGUAAUGUGAAUUGCAGAAUUCAGUGAAUCAUCGAAUCUUUGAACGCACAUUGCGCCCAUUAGUAUUCUAGUGGGCAUGCCUGUUCGAGCGUCAUUUCAACCAUCAAGCCCUAUUUGCUUGGCGUUGGGAGACUUGUAGGCCCGGCCUGCAAGCUCCUGAAAUAGAUCGGCGGAGUCGUGGCGACCCUCAGCGUAGUAAUUCUUCUCGCUUUAGGUGUCGGCGCUGGCGUUUAGCCGUUAAACCCCCUAUUUUUUUUAGUC
rnacentral:sRNA from 1 species